rnacentral:rRNA from 1 species
CAGUAGCCACGGGAAUACGUAGGUGGCAAGCGUUGUCCGGAAUUAUUGGGCGUAAAGGGCUCGCAGGCGGUUUCUUAAGUCUGAUGUGAAAGCCCCCGGCUCAACCGGGGAGGGUCAUUGGAAACUGGGAAACUUGAGUGCAGAAGAGGAGAGUGGAAUUCCACGUGUAGCGGUGAAAUGCGUAGAGAUGUGGAGGAACACCAGUGGCGAAGGCGACUCAUUGGUCUGUAACUGACGCUGAGGAGCGAAAGCGUGGGGAGCGAACAGGAUUAGAUACCCCAGUAGUCCCUGUCUCUUAUAA